CAUUUCAUCCAUCCGCCCACGCAUGGUGUACUGUUCAACACAGGCAGGUGUAGCAAAUACGGCAUUUAGCUAUCGUGCAGAUGCAGCAUCUAUCUUCAUACGCUGCAACUCUGGGAUUGGAGGCUAUAAAGCGAUACAAAGAGAAAAUAGCAGUGAUUGGUGGUCUAGAUCCAUUUUCAGCAGCCCUUGGAAAGCCAGUAGAUCAUGUUCCACCACUAGAGGCAAGUGAUAUUGUCUCUUACUUGAUCCUGCAGACUAGUUUCAUCACAUCUAAACAAUUCCAAGCCAGAAAAUCGCUUGAAGCAUACAAUCAGUUUGUUUGUGGAUGGGUCAAGGAUGUCAGUACCUGGACAGUGUGUGGAUCAUACCUCACAGUUGGCCGUGUUCGACAUUCUCAGCGCUUAAACGAUACUCCUUUGGCAUGUUGGAUCAUACUUGAUUUGACAGGUGCUGUGUCUUGUGCUCACUGUAAUUGUAUGGCUGGCCUUGGAGAGGUUUGUACGCAUAUAGCGGCAGUACUGUUUUAUCUGGAAGCUGCUUACAGGAUUAAAGGAAAGGAAACGUGUACGCAAACCAAGUGUGAAUGGCUUUUGCCAUCUUUUUUGAAGAAGAUAGAAUACAAACCCGUCAGGCACAUUGACUUCACUUCUACAAAUAGUAAAAAAAGAAAAUUGGACGAAAUGAUCGAUUCCUCCUCUACUUCUAAACAGCAACAAUCUGAUAAUCAUCCUGCUACUAGCACAGAGCAAAAGGUAUACACAAAUAUCCCUGA